rnacentral:rRNA from 1 species
CCUACGGGUGGCAGCAGUGAGGAAUAUUGGUCAAUGGGCGAGAGCCUGAACCAGCCAAGUCGCGUGAAGGAUGAAGGAUCUAUGGUUUGUAAACUUCUUUUAUAUGGGAAUAAAGUGAGGAACGUGUUCCUUUUUGUAUGUACCAUAUGAAUAAGCAUCGGCUAACUCCGUGCCAGCAGCCGCGGUAAUACGGAGGAUGCGAGCGUUAUCCGGAUUUAUUGGGUUUAAAGGGUGCGUAGGUGGUUAAUUAAGUCAGCGGUGAAAGUUUGUGGCUCAACCAUAAAAUUGCCGUUGAAACUGGUUGACUUGAGUAUAUUUGAGGUAGGCGGAAUGCGUGGUGUAGCGGUGAAAUGCAUAGAUAUCACGCAGAACUCCGAUUGCGAAGGCGAUUCUCUGGACUGUAACUGACGCUGAGGCUCGAAAGCGUGGGGAGCAAACAGGAUUAGAUACCCUAGUAGUC